ACUCAAAGGAAUUGACGGGGGCCCGCACAAGCAGCGGAGCGUGUGGUUUAAUUCGACGCGACGCGCAGCACCUUACCAGGGCUUGACAUGGGACUGCGGAGCCGCGCAAGCGGUUGGCCUUCGAGGGGGUCCCACAGAUGCUGCAUGGCUGUCGUCAGCUCGUGCCGUGAGGUGUUGGGUUAAGUCCCGCAACGAGCGCAACCCUCGUCGCCAGUUGAACCGAUCUGGCGAGACUGCCGGCCGCAAGCCGGAGGAAGGUGAGGAUGACGUCAAGUCAGCAUGGCUCUGACGCCCUGGGCGACACACACGCUACAAUGGCGCCGACAGAGGGCGUUGCCAACCCGCGAGGGGGAGCGAAUCCCAGAAACGGCGUCCCAGUUCGGAUCGUGGGCUGCAACUCGCCCGCGUGAAGCCGGAGUUGCUAGUAACCGCGGGUCAGCACUACCGCGGUGAAUACGUUCCCGGGCCUUGUACACACCGCCCGU
rnacentral:rRNA from 1 species